GACGAACGCUGGCGGCGUGCUUAACACAUGCAAGUCGAACGGAAAGGCCCUGCUUUUGUGGGGUGCUCGAGUGGCGAACGGGUGAGUAACACGUGAGUAACCUGCCCUUGACUUUGGGAUAACUUCAGGAAACUGGGGCUAAUACCGGAUAGGAGCUCCUGCUGCAUGGUGGGGGUUGGAAAGUUUCGGCGGUUGGGGAUGGACUCGCGGCUUAUCAGCUUGUUGGUGGGGUAGUGGCUUACCAAGGCUUUGACGGGUAGCCGGCCCGAGAGGGUGACCGGCCACAUUGGGACUGAGAUACGGCCCAGACUCCUACGGGAGGCAGCAGUGGGGAAUAUUGCACAAUGGGCGGAAGCCUGAUGCAGCAACGCCGCGUGCGGGAUGACGGCCUUCGGGUUGUAAACCGCUUUCGCCUGUGACGAAGCGUGAGUGGCGGUAAUGGGUAAAGAAGCACCGGCUAACUACGUG
rnacentral:rRNA from 1 species